UACGAAGGGGGCUAGCGUUGCUCGGAAUUACUGGGCGUAAAGGGCGCGUAGGCGGCUUGGCAAGUGGAAGGUGAAAUCCCUCGGCUUAACCGAGGAACUGCCCUCCAAACUGCUUCGCUUGAGACCGGGAGAGGUGAGUGGAAUUCCCAGUGUAGCGGUGAAAUGCGUAGAUAUUGGGAGGAACACCAGUGGCGAAGGCGGCUCACUGGACCGGUACUGACGCUGAUGCGCGAAAGCGUGGGGAGCAAACGGG
rnacentral:rRNA from 1 species